GACGAACGCUGGCGGCGCGCUUAACACAUGCCAGUCGAACGGAAAGGCCCUGCUUUUGUGGGGUGCUCGAGUGGCGAACGGGUGAGUAACACGUGAGUAACCUGCCCUUGACUUUGGGAUAACUUCAGGAAACUGGGGCUAAUACCGGAUAGGAGCUCCUGCUGCAUGGUGGGGGUUGGAAAGUUUCGGCGGUUGGGGAUGGACUCGCGGCUUAUCAGCUUGUUGGUGGGGUAGUGGCUUACCAAGGCUUUGACGGGUAGCCGGCCUGAGAGGGUGACCGGCCACAUUGGGACUGAGAUACGGCCCAGACUCCUACGGGAGGCAGCAGUGGGGAAUAUUGCACAAUGGGCGGAAGCCUGAUGCAGCAACGCCGCGUGCGGGAUAACGGCCUUCGGGUUGUAAACCGCUUUCGCCUGUGACGAAGCGUGAGUGACGGUAAUGGGUAAAGAAGCACCGGCUAACUACGUG
rnacentral:rRNA from 1 species